GAUGAACGCUGGCGGCGUGCUUAACACAUGCAAGUCGAACGGGAAACAUUUUAUUGAAGCUUCGGCAGAUUUAGUUUGUUUCUAGUGGCGGACGGGUGAGUAACGCGUGGGUAACCUGCCUCACACUGGGGGAUAACAGUCAGAAAUGACUGCUAAUACCGCAUAAGCGCACGGGACCGCAUGGUUUAGUGUGAAAAACUCCGGUGGUAUGAGAUGGACCCGCGUCUGAUUAGGUAGUUGGUGGGGUAACGGCCCACCAAGCCGACGAUCAGUAGCCGACCUGAGAGGGUGACCGGCCACAUUGGGACUGAGACACGGCCCAA
rnacentral:rRNA from 1 species